CAUUGGGCUUCUGCACGGUAAGGGCCUCCAUGUUUGUCGUUCCCCCUGGCCCGCUGCACCAUCUUUUCGGAAACCUCGAGACUAGACCUUGGUACCCGGAGUUGUUGUCGCCGACCCGUGUCCUGAAGCUGCCGUCACCUUCGGUGUCUCCAAAGAAGAGGGAGGCAGCAUCGGAGUUGGCGAUACAAGGCAAAUCUGUGAAGGAACACGGCAAGACAGACCUCUUCACGCUUCCACACCUACGACAAAUGGCGAAAUAGGUCACUUUGUCCCUUUGUCAAUGGUGCCUUUCCCCUGAAUGGGAGGCUAACCAGUCCCGUCGACUCAUUGGAUGACCCCGUUGACCCACAUUGGGGAUAACCACGACUGAUACACGUGGCCCUCGCCUGAGGUGCCAAGCAGUGUUGUAUGAAUACCUGCAGUUUUCCAGUGGGUUGUACUGAUCUACAGAACUUUUCUGAAAUCUAGAUUUUUUAAUCUCUUGGCCAAUUCUGCGUGUCAACCGCUUUUGCAUGUAAUUGUGUAUGUAAUGACCUCAGUGUUCGUUUGACCUUUUAUUUCCUUUUCUCUCUUUUUCUUUUUUUUUUGUGCAGUAACAC